CAUGAAUGAUCACACAAUCUUCUUCUUCAAGACAUGCUUGCAAUAAGCUCAACUCUCACAUGACCAAUCUUUGGAUAAUUCCUUAAUAACACCUUGGUCACCACAUAAACUCCUUGAAACCAACACAUGGACUUCAAGAAAUUCCUAUGGACAAAUCCUUCAAAUAUAACUCAAGGCAACCAUUAGUCCAUAGAGAUUGUCAUCAAUUACCAAAACCAAACAUGGGGGCACCGCAUGUUCUUUCAGAGAGUGACAGAAGCUUAAACCCCAGUUUAUGCGCUAUUCCGUAAGGGACCGAUUGGAUCCAAAAGUUUAAUGCUAUGGUUAGAAUAUAUUCUUAAUACUUUUCUCGUAGUUGCGGAUGCUUGCGAGACGGUUAAUCAUAAGUAGGAGGCUUGUUCAAGUAAGAACAACACCUAAGCACCGGUCCACCCACAUAUCGAAUUAUCAAAGUAGCGAACACAAAUCGAAUCAACAUGGUGAAAGUGACUAGAUGAAAUUCUCAUGUACCCUCAAGAACGUUUUGCUUAUCAUAAGAGACCGUUUUGGCCUGUCCUUUGCCUCAAAAGGAUUGGGCUACCUUGCUGCACUUUUGUUACUACUAUCGUUACUUGCUCGGUACAAAUUAUCUUGCUCUCAAACUACUCUGUUACUUACAAUUUCAGCACUUGCAGACAUUACCUUGCUGAAAACCACUUGUCAUUUCCUUUUGCUCCUCGUUGGGUUCAAAACUCUUACUUAUCAAAAAGAGCUACAAUUGAUCCCCUAUACUUGUGGGUCAUCACAUGCCCGUCCUUGCCGUGUGAGGGGAUUGUUUGGCCGACUUUGCGUGAGUAUGCCUGGGUAGGCGUGCUGCAUGCCCGGGCGUUGUGUGACACUUUUACCCAGGCUUUGCCCAUAGGGGCUUUCCAACCCAGGGCAGAACGGGACGAAGCCACCCGUCUAGAAGGUGAGCCCGGGGAAUCCGUCUCCCAUAGUGCACCCACGCACACCAACAAUUGUCCAAUCAAACCCAUGGGAACAUCUUUGUGUGAACACACCUUAGCCGUAGAAAUGUCGAGCAAAUACACAGGCUGCCCGAAAGCAUCAAGAAGCAAUAGACAAGACCACCACCAACACACCAAAAGUGGUCUGAACCCAGAACCAGAAAUCAGCGACAUCAACCAGGCUGACAACGGAGCAGGAGAGGUGCCCGACAUAACCCAACCUCGCACAAAUCAAUAGCCGAGUAUGCCGCGGAGUCGGCCACUUGAGAAGACACCAAGUAAGCCAUCCGAAUGAUGUUUUUUUAAUUAUUCACAAAACGCGAUGUCAGUGACUAUGAUCAUGUUGUGUUUGUUACUUGGGCAGAUGACAACCCAGGUUAACAACAAAUCGGAUGAACCGAGCACCAGAAAGUCGACCCAGACAUACCGAGGACCAACCUCCCUAGCGACGUCCUAAUCGGCAACUGACAACACACCAAAGCGGCUGAGAAAAUGGAGCUAGAAAGCAACGACUCUGAACCGAACCGUAAUAGCGCAUAGGAUAACCCAACCCGAUGCACCGCAACAGUUGAAUAAGCCACACACAUGGCCACUCGGGGGUCCAUGCCGCGUGGGUCGAGGGUGUGUCCGGGGCUGCCUCGUUCGCCGUCCGUUGCCUAUUCCAUGUAUGUUCUGAACCGUACAUUGGUGGUGGGGCCGAUGUUUAUUCCACGGGGUAUAUGUUGGGAAACAUAGUAAUCCAAAAAAAUUCCUACGAUCACGCAAGAUCUAUCUAGGAGAUGCAUAGCAACGAGAGGGGAGAGUGUGUCCACGUACCCUCGUAGACCUAAAGCGGAAGCGUUUAGUAACGCGGUUGAUCUAGUCGAAUGUCUUCACGAUCCAAGUACCGAACGUACGGCACCUCCGUGUUCAGCACACAUUCAGCAUGAUGAUGUCCCUCGAGCUCUUGAUCCAGUAGAGGGUCGAGGGAGAGUUCCGUCAGCACGACAGCGUGGUGACGGUGUUGGUGAUGUGAUCCGCACAGGGCUUCGCCUAAGCACUACGACAAUAUAACCGAGGUGGCAAACUGUGGAGGGGGGCACCGCACACGGCUAAGAAACAAACGUUGUUCCUUUGGGGUGCCCCCUGGCCACGUAUAUAAAGGAGGAGAGGGAGGAGGCCGGCGGCCAUGAGGGGGCGCGCCAAGGGGGAGCCCAACUUGGAUUCCCAAUCCUAGUUGGACUCCCUUUCCUAUUCCAAGGCAAGCUUCAAGCAUUUGAUCUCUUCAUGAUGCUUCACUUGAACUUGCACACCGCAACCUAACCCCACAAAGAACUCUCACGAAGAUCAUGGGUUAGUACACAAAGCGUUAUUGACAAUGCUUACCACACCAUGGGAUCGCUUGAUCCCUCUCGGUACAUCUUCUACGCUUUGUGAGUUGAUCAAGUUGAUUCACUCUUGACUUAGUCUUGAUCAACCUUGAAUCUUUUCAACUCUCUUCAUUUGGAUGAUGUCUUGAAGAUAUACAUGAAUGAUCACACAAUCUUCUUCUCCAAGACAUGCUUGCAAUAAGCUCAACUCUCACAUGACCAAUCUUUGGAUAAUUCCUUAAUAACACAUUGGUCACCACAUAAACUCCUUGAAACCAACACAUGGACUUCAAGAAAUGCCUAUGGACAAAUCCUUCAAAUAUAACUCAAGGCAACCAUUAGUCCAUAGAGAUUGUCAUCAAUUACCAAAACUAAACAUGGGGCACCGCAUGUUCUUUCA
rnacentral:lncRNA from 1 species